UCUGACCCGAAACGAAACCCAGAAACCGGCAACAGGGUCUGACCGGCGCUACUUCGUCCGGCCACCGAUCGACGACGGACGACCACCAUCUUCUUCGCCUCUUCGUCGCCUAUAGCCUGAUGCUCUUGGAUCGUCCAUGCACCUGACAAGGACGAAGAGCCGACGGUGAAGGUCCAAGCUUUCGCCGGCGAUUUCUGCAAGUUUCCGGCCACCAUUCAAGGCGCAUUCGGCGACUUCUCUGGCCUCUCUUGGUUCGCUCUUCAUCUCGUCUCCACAUGUUGAUGCUUGUCGUUCUAAACUGAAGCUAAAUUCCAAAGAACUGCUAGCUGGUGUUGGAUUCCCAGUUCGUCAUCAUCCCUGUUCAAUCGAGCUUGCUCGAAGUAGCUUUUCAAGGUAUAUUUCAACUCUCGAACCAAGUUUUGAUCUUGGUGUGAUACUUGGAGGUUAGAUGAACUGAAUGGGUCGUUUGGCUGAGAUUGUAUUACGCUUGUUCUAAGUUUGGUUGCUCAAGGUUGGGUUUGAAAA